AGUGAACGCUGGCGGUAGGCCUAACACAUGCAAGUCGAACGGCAGCACAGUAAGAGCUUGCUCUUACGGGUGGCGAGUGGCGGACGGGUGAGGAAUACAUCGGAAUCUACUUUUUCGUGGGGGAUAACGUAGGGAAACUUACGCUGAUACCGCAUACGACCUACGGGUGAAAGCAGGGGAUCUUCGGACCUUGCGCGAUUGAAUGAGCCGAUGUCGGAUUAGCUAGUUGGCGGGGUAAAGGCCCACCAAGGCGACGAUCCGUAGCUGGUCUGAGAGGAUGAUCAGCCACACUGGAACUGAGACACGGUCCAGACUCCUACGGGAGGCAGCAGUGGGGAAUAUUGGACAAUGGGCGCAAGCCUGAUCCAGCCAUACCGCGUGGGUGAAGAAGGCCUUCGGGUUGUAAAGCCCUUUUGUUGGGAAAGAGAAGCAGCAGGUUAAUACCCCGCUGUUCUGACGGUACCCAAAGAAUAAGCACCGGCUAACUUCGUG
rnacentral:rRNA from 1 species